GCUCGGGGAUCUGGGCAAAAUCAGCCCGCCCUCCUCCCCCUCCGCCGCCGCCCUCCCUUCCUCGCGCGGCUCUGCUCGCUCAGCUCAGCUCAGCGCGGCGCAGCUCGGCAGCCGCCAAGCCGAAACCCGCACGGUCUCUCUGUCGCCAGCGCCGGCUCCCAGCUCCCGCUCCCCGCCCGGGCUCCGCCUGGUCUCGCUUCCACGGGGACCCCUUCGGGCAGGAGUCGCGUGGCGAGGGCCGGCGGCAGCGGCACAAAGUUGGACGCCCGCGAGGAUGAGGCUGUCCCCGGCGCCCCUGAGGCUGAGCCGGAGUCCAGCGCUGCUGGCCCUGGCACUGCCCCUGGCCGCGGCGCUGGCCUUCUCCGACGAGACCCUGGACAAAGUGCCCAAGUCGGAGGGCUACUGCAGCCGCAUCCUGCGCGCCCAGGGAACGCGGCGCGAGGGCUACACCGAGUUCAGCCUCCGCGUGGAGGGCGACCCCGACUUCUACAAGCCGGGAAUCAGCUACCGUGUAACCCUUUCAGCUGCCCCACCGUCCUACUUCAGAGGAUUCACAUUAAUUGCCCUCAAAGAGAACAGAGAGGGUGAUAAGGAAGAAGACCAUGCUGGGACCUUCCAGAUCAUAGAUGAAGAAGAAACACAGUUUAUGAGUAAUUGCCCCGUCGCGGUCACCGAAAGCACCCCACGGAGGAGGACAAGGAUCCAGGUGUUCUGGAUUGCGCCACCAGCAGGAACAGGCUGCGUGAUUCUAAAGGCCAGCAUUGUGCAGAAACGCAUCAUUUAUUUUCAAGAUGAGGGCUCUCUGACCAAGAAACUCUGUGAACAAGAUUCCAUGUUUGAUGGGGUGACGGACAAACCAAUUCUAGACUGCUGCGCCUGUGGAACCGCCAAGUACAGACUCACAUUUUAUGGGAACUGGUCCGAGAAGACGCACCCCAAGGAUUACCCUCGUCGGGCCAAUCACUGGUCUGCAAUCAUUGGUGGAUCCCACUCCAAGAAUUACGUGCUAUGGGAGUACGGAGGAUAUGCGAGCGAAGGUGUCAAACAAGUUGCAGAAUUGGGCUCACCUGUGAAAAUGGAGGAAGAAAUUCGGCAACAGAGUGAUGAGGUCCUCACCGUCAUCAAGGCCAAAGCUCAGUGGCCAGCCUGGCAGCCUCUCAACGUGAGAGCGGCACCCUCGGCUGAAUUUUCAGUGGACAGGACACGCCACUUGAUGUCCUUCCUGACCAUGAUGGGCCCCAGUCCCGACUGGAACGUGGGCCUGUCUGCAGAGGAUCUGUGUACCAAGGAGUGCGGCUGGGUCCAGAAGGUGGUACAAGACCUGAUCCCCUGGGACGCCGGCACCGACAGUGGGGUGACCUAUGAGUCACCCAACAAGCCCACAAUUCCCCAGGAGAAAAUCCGGCCCCUGACCAGCCUGGACCAUCCUCAGAGUCCUUUUUACGAUCCAGAGGGCGGGUCUAUCACUCAAGUAGCCAGAGUUGUCAUCGAGAGAAUCGCCCGGAAGGGGGAACAAUGCAAUAUUGUACCUGAUAACGUCGAUGAUAUUGUCGCAGAUCUGGCUCCAGAAGAGAAAGAUGAAGAUGACACCCCCGAAACCUGCAUCUACUCCAACUGGUCCCCGUGGUCUGCCUGCAGCUCCUCCACCUGUGACAAAGGCAAGAGGAUGCGGCAGCGCAUGCUAAAGGCGCAGCUGGACCUCAGCGUCCCCUGCCCGGACACCCAGGACUUCCAGCCCUGCAUGGGCCCCGGCUGCAGUGACGAAGACGGCUCCACCUGCACCAUGUCCGAGUGGAUCACCUGGUCGCCCUGCAGCAUCUCCUGUGGCAUGGGCAUGCGGUCCCGGGAGAGGUAUGUGAAGCAGUUCCCUGAGGACGGCUCUGUGUGCACACUGCCCACUGAGGAGACGGAGAAGUGCACGGUCAAUGAGGAGUGCUCUCCCAGCAGCUGCCUGAUGACCGAGUGGGGCGAGUGGGAUGACUGCAGCGCCACCUGCGGGAUGGGCAUGAAGAAGCGGCAUCGCAUGGUCAAGAUGAGCCCGGCGGACGGCUCCGCGUGCAAGGCCGAGACCUCCCAGGCGGAGAAGUGCAUGAUGCCCGAGUGUCACACCAUCCCCUGCUUGCUGUCCCCGUGGUCCGAGUGGAGUGACUGCAGCGUGACCUGCGGGAAGGGCAUGCGGACCCGCCAGCGGAUGCUCAAGUCUCUGGCGGAACUCGGAGACUGUAACGAGGAGCUGGAGCAGGUGGAGAAGUGCAUGCUGCCCGAAUGCCCCAUUGACUGUGAGCUCACCGAGUGGUCUCAGUGGUCGGAAUGUAACAAGUCCUGUGGGAAAGGCCACAUGAUUCGAACCCGGAUGAUCCAAAUGGAGCCACAGUUUGGAGGUGCACCCUGCCCAGAGACCGUGCAACGAAAAAAAUGCCGUAUCCGGAAAUGCCUGAGAAAUCCAUCCAUCCAGAAGCUGCGCUGGAGAGAGGCCCGAGAGAGCCGGCGGAAUGAGCAGCUGAGGGAAGAGUCCGGAGGCGAGCAGUUCCCAGGCUGCAGGAUGCGCCCGUGGACAGCCUGGUCGGAAUGCACCAAACUGUGUGGUGGUGGGAUCCAGGAACGCUACAUGACGGUCAAGAAGAGGUUCAAAAGCUCCCAGUUUACCAGCUGCAAGGACAAGAAGGAGAUCAGAGCGUGCAAUGUUCACCCUUGUUAACAAGGGUUGUGGUUCGCCCACCAGUCUUGUUGAUGCCAGGGACUUCCUUUCUGUCUGCUUCUUGGUAUGCAGAGGCUGUGUGGGGCUCCCUCAUCCCCAGAUGGCCCUCCUCCAGCACAGAAGUUUUCAUUAUGCUUAAUCCAAAUAUGUAUCCCGGAUGAGAUGCAUACGUGGUUUUGAAUACACUACUUUAAGAAUUUGCAUUAAGCCCAUCAGGAUGUCUCCAAACACAACAUACAUAUGAUAUAGCCCUGAAUCUGUAUUUUCUUUAACAUCAAAGACCGUUCAAUAAAAAAAAACUCAUUUGGGUCUGGCUGCUGUGUUUUUAAACUAAGUGUUCAGGAGGUUGGGACUUCUUGCAGUUAUCUGCCUGAAUCAUAUGCAGCAAAAGACAGGGUUUCUGGUCCCUCAUUCAAGAGGGGCCAUUAUUACCAACUAACACAGCCCUGAGUCUUCUGGAACUUUCAGUUUCCAAUAUUAUUUUUGUGAUCCUUAAAUGGACUGCUUUCUCACCUCAUGAAGGAGUGUAACAUAAGGAAAUAAGAGGUUUCAUUCGGACAAAAAGUCUUGAUACAGAACCCGCCUCCUUGUGCAUUCCUCUCAGCCACCUGGAGGCAGAUAUCCACCCCAUGAAAAUCAAAGGUCAAGUCAGUGAUUCCUAAGUAAGUAAGGACAAGCCACCCUAGUGUCCCAUGUUCUUAUCAGGUCUCUAUUGGAUACAUUUUUAAUAUUAAUUUUGGAGACUUAAAACCAAGUAACUGGAUAAGGGCUGAGAAUGGGUAACAUGCAUCUUGUUAUGUGUUAUUUCUUUUGGUUGCAAGGGGGAAUUUAUAAGAAGCAUCAGAUCUCUUUCUUACCAAAGUCUUGGGUUAGGUAGUUUAUAGUUUUUCUGGCUAACCAGUCAUUUUGGAAAUAAAGACUUUACUAUAAAAAUGAAAUUGUUUCAAGUUCCACUUGGGAUAAUAAACAGAUGAGACACCCAGUAAAAACCGCUAUAUAAAGAGGAGCUAUAAUUGUUGUAUAUAUUUACAUCCACAUUUUAAGAUGACAAUAAAUUCAGACAUCUAUUCCCCAACCAG